rnacentral:pre_miRNA from 1 species
UUGAUUUUUCGUCUUAUUUGAAAUUUUUUUAUGAUUAAUAUUUUUAUUGCUACUACAUGAUAAAACAUAAAUGGUACUUUACGUGUUACUAAUUUUCUUUAAUUUUUUAAUAAAAUUUUUAAAUAAAAUAAAUGGUCAA